rnacentral:rRNA from 1 species
AGAGUUUGAUUAUGGCUCAGGAUGAACGCUAGCGACAGGCUUAACACAUGCAAGUCGAGGGGCAGCGGGGGAGUAGCAAUACUCCCGCCGGCGACCGGCGCACGGGUGAGUAACACGUAUGAAACCUGCCCGUAGCAGGGGGAUAAGCGGAAGAAAUUCCGUCUAAUACCGCGUAACAACCCUUGGAGGCAUCUCCUCGGGUUUAAAGGGAGCGAUUCCGGCUACGGAUGGUCAUGCGUCGCAUUAGCUUGUUGGCGGGGUAACGGCCCACCAAGGCGACGAUGCGUAGGGGUUCUGAGAGGAAGGUCCCCCACACUGGUACUGAGACACGGACCAGACUCCUACGGGAGGCAGCAGUGAGGAAUAUUGGUCAAUGGCCGCAGGGCUGAACCAGCCAAGUCGCGUGAGGGAUGACGGUCCUAUGGAUUGUAAACCUCUUUUGUCAGGGAGCAAAGGGCGCCACGUGUGGCGUUUUGCGAGUACCUGAAGAAAAAGCAUCGGCUAACUCCGUGCCAGCAGCCGCGGUAAUACGGAGGAUGCGAGCGUUAUCCGGAUUUAUUGGGUUUAAAGGGUGCGC